rnacentral:rRNA from 1 species
UACGUGGGGCGCAAGCGUUAUCCGGAAUUAUUGGGCGUAAAGAGCUCGUAGGCGGUUUGUCGCGUCUGCCGUGAAAGUCCGGGGCUCAACUCCGGAUCUGCGGUGGGUACGGGCAGACUAGAGUGAUGUAGGGGAGACUGGAAUUCCUGGUGUAGCGGUGAAAUGCGCAGAUAUCAGGAGGAACACCGAUGGCGAAGGCAGGUCUCUGGGCAUUAACUGACGCUGAGGCACGAAGGUCAGGGGAGCAAACGGG